GUAGCCGCAGCGGGGGCGGUGAUGCUGCUGCCGCGUGGCGCGUGCAGGCGCAGACUGGCGCAGGUUGUGAGCCUGGUGGCACCCCCGCGCUGGUUCUUCAGAUGUGAAGAAGCUCCAGCCAGCGAGUGCGGCCACCCACCGAAAGCCACUUAUAGCCAGAAUGCAGUCCACUCUACCCCGCAGCUCGCCUCCAAACGCCCCUCCAACAACCCUCGGAGGGGCGCCCAGGCUCUGAGCUUCGCGGUCCUCGGGGCAGCUCCUCCUGGGCUUCUGCAGCCUCCGUCCCCGCGGAGCCUUGGACUCGAGGUUCCCCGAGGGUGCUUCUGUGUGAGCACUCUCUUGGGUCUCCAAGGGGCUCCCCAGUUUAUAAUCAUAGUUGCAUGUUAGAUUCUUGACCACAGGGAGGAAGAGUUCAGCCCUGCACUUUGCCCUAGUCCAGGACCUGCUAGGGGCCUUUUGGUCUCUCCUCAGAGAUGGACAGCCCCUUCCUGGCUCCACCUUCCUGCAGGGAGACCACUUCUCUCUCCCCACUCACUCCCAGCGCACCCCACACCAGGCCCCCAGCCUGGCUGCUCCUCGGGGCUCCCGCGCCCCUUCGGCCACUCCCCAACAUGGCUUCCAGGCACGUAAGCCCAUGGUGAAAAACCUCAUCUAGGACUUCCCCAGCAGUCCAGUGGUUGGGACUCAGCACUUUCACUGCCAUGGCCCCGGGUUCUGUCCCUGGUCGGGGAACUAAGAUCCCAGGAGCCACGUGGCACGGCCAAAAAACAAACAAACGAACCAAGAACACCUCAUCUACGUACUGAAAGAAACCACCCUCUCUGCACUUUCUCUGGAGCUGCUUCAUACCCCACAAACCUGCUCUUGUUCUCGGGCUCUUCCUGCUCCCCAGCUCAGGAGUAACCUUGACGUGCCUCCUGUAAUUUACAGCACUUGACAGUUUUGAAACUGCGUCUCUGUAAGGGUCUCAUCGGGUCACUAAUUCCGUAAGUGUUAACUGAGCACUACUCUGUGCUCUGCAUGUGUGGAGUUCUGGGGUACAGGCGGUCCCUGCCCCACAGGGCCCCUGAGCCGGGGGGAUGCUUCACAGCCUGUGAAAUGCUGAUUGCUUGACCGUUCAUCGAGGGGAAGGCUCAGGGGCAGAGGGUGCGCCUCAUGCUGCCCCACGACCCAGAGGGGAGAGAUGGGGGUAAACAGGGCACCUUGGAUCAGAGCUCAGAUGGAGCCAGGAGGGGUGCCAGCCUGACCUGGGGAAGGCCUCUGGGGCCCAUCCCAGAACUGAGGCUCAGGACAGGCAGACCCUCGCCAGCUAGGCCUGGGAGCCAGGGCGCAGAGCUGACUGCCCACCCGCUGGAAGAGGAGCUCCCGCAGCCCGGGCCAUGCCUGUGUCCGCUGCUGGGUGCUGGGAAGACAGCUCGGUGUAGGGGAGGUGAACCAUCGAACAGGUAGAGAGCAAACUGGUGAGACAGAAGCAGCUCUGGGCUCCUGGAGCUGGUAAGGCUCCCGGAAGGUAAAGCUUGCCCAGGCCGCACAGCUAGUCUGGGGCCGGCUGGAGGCACCCCUGGGCCCUGCAGCACCCCCGGCCCGUGCCGGUCAUGCCCGUCGGCUCCCACCCUGCUUUUCCAGGAGCUGCACUUGUGGUGUCUGAGCUCCUCUUGGUCAAGGGCACCUUCGGCCUCAGCAGCAAACCACCAUCUGUCCCCAGAGACAGUGCCGGGUGGUUUGGGGCCCGGAUGUCUCAGCUGUGGGAGCGGGCGCACCCUGCCGGGUGGUUGAUACAACAGCAGGGAUUGAGUUGCUCUGCAGCUUCGUGCAACUCGGGGGGCGUCGGCCUUGGCAGUGAGAGGAUGCAGGUGAGCUCCCGGCCCAGCGGGGCCGCCACAGUGCAGGGGGACAACCUGGGGCCUUGUUCCAGAAACAGGAAGAGGCCUUGCCCCCCUUCCCUCCACAUCUCUCUCUGACCUGUGGUGGCAGUUAUUAUUUAUUAUUUGCUGUUUAACGUCAGGGGGCUCUCACAGAGGAACUCAGACUGUCGUAGCCACCUGGGGCCCAUCCCUGUCAAUCAGUGUUCCUCUGUGUUCACCCCUAGACCCCCGCUGGGGCAAGGGUCGGUGAUGGUCACUGGCUGGGGGACAGGGAAGUGGGCGGCCAAGAAUCGGUCCCAGGGGAAGGAAUAUUGGGAGGCCCCAAGUCCCUGCCACAUGCCCCUUUGUCCCAUUGGACGGCACUUUACAAAGCGUACAUUCAAAGCCGAAGUAUUAAGAAUGUCGAGAUGGUGACCACAGAGCUUUAACCCCCAAGCACCAGCUCACCGCAGCGCGGAUCGAAUGCCGUGAGGCCCCAGGACACCACAAGGGCUCCCCGCUAGAGGUCCACAAAGAUCGGGGACCACAGCAGCCAGUGUGGCCACAAAACGCGGGGGCAGCACUAGGAGAAGGAGCAGGGGGCCAGCGUGACUAGACCGUGCAAGAUGUAUCAAGGGCUGCAUGUGGCCUGGGAAGGGAGGGGCCUCGAUGGCUGGGCCGG